rnacentral:rRNA from 1 species
UACGUAGGGUGCGAGCGUUAAUCGGAAUUACUGGGCGUAAAGCGUGCGCAGGCGGCUAUGCAAGACAGAUGUGAAAUCCCCGGGCUCAACCUGGGAACUGCAUUUGUGACUGCAUAGCUAGAGUACGGUAGAGGGGGAUGGAAUUCCGCGUGUAGCAGUGAAAUGCGUAGAUAUGCGGAGGAACACCGAUGGCGAAGGCAAUCCCCUGGACCUGUACUGACGCUCAUGCA